rnacentral:lncRNA from 1 species
AGCAAUGAGCCUGACUCUCCUGCAUCUCCUUUGUCUGAGGCAUAGACCACUGACUGCUUAUGGAAAAGAACAGAUAAUGAUAUCCGUCUCCUGCUUCCACCCACCACUCAAUGUAACUUUCUGCCAUGAACAUAACCAGCCACACAUAAACUGUCUGCAGAAAAGGAAGUUCCAUCCUAUAAGCUUGGCAGGAGGACCCAACUCAUGUAGUAGAGCAAUGGUUCUUAAACUUGAGAGCACAUUGAAUUCCCUGGAGGACUCCGUGCACUUCAGAUGAUCCACAGAGCUCCUGAUUUGAUAAAGAAGCUGAAGUCACGAAGGAAAAACAAAUCCUGUCACAGUCUCAUGGGACGGGGUAGGAACUAGAACCAACGACUCAUCCAGAGUUCAUAUUAACUCCGAACUGUUGCCACCAUUUACAGAGACUCAUAGGAGAAGCCGCUUGCUCUACAGUGUGAGGAUUGCAAGCUGUGCUAGGAUUCAAGCUCAGAGUCCCUGAGCCUUUGUCUCCUGUUCUUUCCUGUGUGCUUAUGUGGUCAGUCCACUUUCCUUCUCCGACAUGAAGGCUUGGCCCAUUCCAAGUCUCCUUUGGAAGAAAAUGGGUAAACUAUGAAUGCCAUUGUUUAACACUGUCAAUUGGAAUAUUAAAAUGUUUCUUUCAUUAGAAAUAAACUUUUGUCAAUUUAAACAGUGGAAGAGUAAUUCAUCACAGGGGAAGAGGAAUGAGAACCUUUGGAAUUUAUUUUCAAUAAAAGAUCCUGCUAGUAGAAGAAAACUCCUGAAACCCUGGUUUUACUGAUGCCCAUUAACAUGUAUACUUGAAGCAAGAGUAUGAAGCUCUUAAAAUCUGCCCUUUCAAAAACUUUAAAAAGUUAUGUAGGGAGUUAUAAGUACAUAAGAUGAAAAUGAACACCUUCUCUUAGUAAAUGUAUUUUAGGAGCAUAGAGAAAUUGUAAAGAGAAAGGUGAGAGUAAUAGAACUUCACCUGGUAAUUUUCUGGGGUAAAAGAAAAGGGGAUAAAGGUCCCGGGGCUAUAUUACUAAAGAACAAAUGAGAAAGAAGGGCAACACACUGUUAAAUAAUGUAUGCAACAUUCUGCCCUGAAAUUCUUAUUUUGAGUAAGAUCCUUUACCCUCCCUGACAAUAUGAUCAUAUUGAACAGUUGGAUUAAAAAAAAAAUUGUGGUUUUGUUCAGUAAAAACCUAAAUACCAGGGGAGUAUCUGCUGUCUUUAUACCCAUAUAAUUAGGUGGAAUGUGGAAAAAUCCAAUCAAGCUGUGUCUGACUGUAUAUCUAAUCUGAUUGGCUUUCAACUGGAUCAUAGAGGAGAUAAAUGGCAUUUCUACAACACAGCCAUUCAGUCACUUUGUUAUGAACUUUUUCCUUACCUUAAAUUCAUCCAUAAAUGCCAUUUAAACUCUGGUCCCAAAGGUAGUGAGGCGGUGAGUAGAAAAUAGAAUCUUAACACCCACUUCCUCUGUUCAGUUAUGUCUUUGCUCCUUCAAGUAUGGUCUGCAGGCUGGUCAUCACCUGGGAGCUUGUUUGAAAUGCAACUCUCAGGCCCUCACUCUGACUUGUGCAACCAGAAUCAACAUUUUCAAAAUAUCUUUGGGUAAACUGUAUGCACAUUAAAGUUUAAGAAGCUGUCAGUCAUCUAUAUAACUUCUAUUCACAUGGAAAUUCUGAUUAUGAACCUGCUGCUUAAAUCUAAGAUAUUCUUCACAUGACUUAUACACCUAUUCUGGAAAAUAUCUGAAAGUACCCGGGAAUAAAAUGCAUGAGACUAUCUGUGUAUAUAUAGCUUUCUAUGUUUCUGGUUGACUUUUCUUUUUUUUACUAUUUUAUGGCAAUAAAUAUUUUAUUGAAGC